rnacentral:rRNA from 1 species
UACGAAGGGUGCAAGCGUUACUCGGAAUUACUGGGCGUAAAGCGUGCGUAGGUGGUUUGUUAAGUCUGUUGUGAAAGCCCCGGGCUCAACCUGGGAAUGGCAAUGGAUACUGGCAGGCUAGAGUGCGGUAGAGGGUAGUGGAAUUCCCGGUGUAGCGGUGAAAUGCGUAGAGAUCGGGAGGAACACCAGUGGCGAAGGCGGCUACCUGGGCCUGCACUGACGCUCAUGCACGAAAGCGUGGGGAGCAAACAGG